GGUGGGGAGUCCAGCUAAGAGCGGACAUGAGAGGCGAUUAAAUCAGACAACCCUUCGCAUGCACAGCAGACACACAGUUAGUUUGAGGUGACAGAUUCUUUUAGAGUCCACCCAGUUUGCAGCUAUGAUUCAUCCUUUAACCUUAGGCAUUAUGGUCGUGAACACUUUUCUAUCUGUCAUGUUCUGGGUCUUCGUCCUGAGUGACUCCUUCAUGAAGUGGCAGUUGGAGCCAGAAGACAAACCCAAGAAGAUCGUCACCCCGGCCUGAGGGUCGAAAUGGACUGACUGAAACUGUUUUGUUUUCUGUGUAGAGAAGAGCGCAGCUUGUAGUGCUUUCUGUGGAGUCUGCUUAUGAUCAUUGUGUUUCUGGAAACUAACCUUUUAUUGAACUGAAGGGGUCCUGCAACCAAAUGAGAAAGGAGUCCAUCUUCCAGGUUUUGUAACGUUCCCGAGCCACCAAAAAACAAAGAAUAAAGAAGCAAUCUACAUCCUGAUGCUCCACCGAGAAGAACUGAGAGGUUUACCUGCCCACUUUAUCCUUGAUGAGACCCCUGUAUACAAUACACUCCGAUUGGAAAUCCUUUCAUUUGCAAUUCAAAGAAAAUAACGUUGGAGCUUUUUCAACUCUUGAUUACAAGACUGGUUCCUUGGUCCCAAAAUAGUGGAGGAUAAUUCAGAGGAGGAGAGAGCGGAGACAGAAAAAGAGCAACGAUUGAGCACUUGCAGUAAGCUGAUGGGGAAAGAUAGGCUGGAGAUGGAUAUGGAAAAAGAGGGCCUGCUGCCGGGUUUCUAUGGGGAAGAUGAAGACUUCCGCCGUCCAUCUGUCUUUCCUCCAGACCCCGGAGAAAAAAGAAUAUCUGCUCAUAGUGUGACCUUCACCUGCCCCGUGACCUCCUAUGCCACUUCCCUUUGAGUUCAGAUCACUUUUUGUUGUUUUCGCAUAUUGAUCUAAUUUCAGUGCAUUGAUCAGAGUUGUCUCUUGCUGUAGUGAUGCUAAAUGCUAAGGUAAUUUUGUUUGUUUUUUUAAACACGUGGCUUAAUAGCACUUCAAGUUUGUUAUCUUGCUCAGAACAAAUGCUUACUUCUAUAACUUUCUUGUUCCAUAAUGUCUCAUAGAUUUUGUACAAUAUAAACUUUGAAUACAAUAUAUUUCAAUAACUAAAGUGUAAAUCCAAAGACUAUAUAUCUAUAUAUGUAUUUAUAUAGAAUAUAUAUGUAAAAACGCAAUAACAAUAUAAAGAAAAUUCAGUAAAAUAGUGUAUAAAUUACAAUUUCUGUUUAUUUCCUCACCAUCCAGUCAAAAUCAUACCCUGAAAUUUCCCAUGAUGUCAAACCUGUUGCUGUAAAGUAAUGCAGAAGAAAAAAGUGUAUCAGUUUUUUCUGUUCUGGUGUUGGACUAAGCUUCUCUUUAGUAAACAACUGAAUCACACAAGA